rnacentral:rRNA from 1 species
ACGUAGGGGGCUAGCGUUGUCCGGAAUCAUUGGGCGUAAAGCGCGUGUAGGCGGCUUGUUAAGUCGGUUGUGAAAACCCAUGGCUCAACCAUGGAAGGGCGUCCGAAACUGGCAAGCUAGAGUCCCGACGAGGAUGGCGGAAUUCCCAGUGUAGAGGUGAAAUUCGUAGAUAUUGGGAGGAACACCGGUGGCGAAGGCGGCCAUCUGGGAGGGCACUGACGCUGAGACGCGAAAGCCAGGGGAGCAAACGGGA